GCUCAUAUGGAAAUACGUGGAAACGUUGAACAACGAAACUUUCGUGGGCAAAAGUAUAAACCACGUGUAACAUGUGAGAAGGCAACUGACGAUCAAAACAAAAAAAAGUCCCCAUAAAACCGUAAGACCAUUAAGCCGUGCCCGGUUUUAAAAUAUGAGUAAAGUUGGCUGUGGUGACUAAUUCCGAUUAAUUUGUUUAUUUCUCUGUCCUUCUGCUUCCUCUCUACCAACAUGCUGAGUGUCGAGACCGAUUAUUGUUUAUUGCUUGUCCGUUUCAUUUGCUCUCACUCUAAGAAAAAAAUUACAAAAAAAUCCUCUAGCAGUAUUCCCCCGCACGCACUAAAUGAUAUCAGUCAUUAUGUGAUAGAUCACCCAUUUCUAAUGAGCAACUAAGCUCAGAAACACUAUGAUCAACUCCCGUUAUGACAAAAUAUUGUUGCAAUGAAUAGAAAAUAGAAAAAAAAUUGAACAUCAUAAAAAAGCUCACCACCUCGAAACACCGCUCUUAAUGAGUGGCGAUCUCGGUUCAUUUGAUUUUCGAGGUUAUUUUUUAUUUUUUUUAUUUUUUUUCUUAUACAAUUGUUCACCUUAAUUUUUUAUCGCUUACCGCAGUAUAUAACUGGGCUGCAUCAAGUAUUCAGUUACAGUUGUGUCGUAGCUCUAAAACUCUUUACAUCUUUUCAAAAAUCAACAAAUCCCAAAACAUCAACAUGAACUUCCAACCAAUCCUCGCUCUUUUCUUCGCUCUCAUUGCCGUCGCUUUCGCCGCCCCGCAAUACGGCCACGAAUCAUCCGGCUACAAAUCCUCCGGACACGGCUACGAAAGCAAGUCCUACGAACCCGCUACCUCCUACCAGAACGUCAACCUCUACCCCCAACACGGCCAUGGCUACGAGCAUAAGGAAUCCAGCCACAAAUACUGAAGACUGCCGCCCCUUCGCCGAACCCACCUCACUCAAUUCAUCGCGAUUAAUUUAUUUCACGCCUCAUCCGAAACGCAAUCAUCUUUAAUUUCCUAUCGUCAUAAUGAACAAAAAUAAAAUUUAAUAUAAAAAAGAUAAUAUCAAUAAAAACUGCAAAAUUCAAAAUUAAUACUGGACUUUGAUUAUUUCACCCACACUGCAGAUCUUCUUAACAUUCGCUCUCUACACUGAAAACAAAUUCUCGGCGUUUUUACCAAGGUCCGUUGGUAACUUUACCAUCUCCCUUUUUUACCAAUUAUUGGUAAUGUUAACAAGACAGACUGGUAAGCUUACCUAAAAACCGGUAUUUAUACUGAUUUUUUCAGGUAAGAAUACCACUUUUAUUGGUAAUCAAUUCCCGGUAACUUUACCAUUUUAUCUCGGUAAUUCUACCACAAGCGAUAAAAAAUAUUGGCGUUUUUACCAAGGUCCAGUAAAAUUAUCGAGAAAGUUCAAUAAUUUUACCGAGAUUUCUCGGUAAAAAUACCAAUUCCAUAAAUGGUAAUUUUACCAAGAAAAAACUGGGAUCAAAUAGAACCCUGAAUUCUCGGUAAUUUUGCUCUUUUCUUGGUUAUUACACCGAGAUUUUUUUUUUUUUUCAGUGUAAUGCGACAGUCAUUUAUUGAAGAACGUCACUAAUACUGCCGUACUAAGGGAGAACGCCGUAUGAACAUGCAAGAGUUGCCAAAUUUCCCUCGAUAAAAAAUGUAUUUUUGACAACAUUCAUGCAUAUUUUUUCUUGACAUUUUCAGAUAUUUAAGAUUAAAUUGCGUGCAAAAUUGUCUGAAAUUUUGGAAAAUAAUAUUCACAAUUUUUCCAGUAAAUUUGGUUUUUAUCGGGGGAAACUUGGCAACGUCUAGAGACUCAUAAGGCGGUCUUCCUUAGCACGGCAGAAUACCGAUAGAUCGUGCCGAAGUAUCACAAUCACCAUGCGACGUUUCAAAAUUUCCGCUGCCAUUUUAUUUUUUUACAGAGAAAUUGUUCAACAAAGCUGUCCGAAAAUUUCCCUGAAUUUUUUUUGUGCUGCCGAUAAAAUUAAGUGAAAUUUUCAAAUAGAUUCAACCAACAAUUUCUGUGUAAAAAAAUAAAACGGCGGCUCAAAUUUUUAAACUUCGCAUGGCGCUUGUGAUA
rnacentral:lncRNA from 1 species